rnacentral:rRNA from 1 species
GUGGAUUAGAUACCCGGGUAGUCCACGCCCUAAACGAUGUCUACUAGUUGUCGGGUCUUAAUUGACUUGGUAACGCAGCUAACGCGUGAAGUAGACCGCCUGGGGAGUACGGUCGCAAGAUUAAAACUCAAAGGAAUUGACGGGGACCCGCACAAGCGGUGGAUGAUGUGGAUUAAUUCGAUGCAACGCGAAAAACCUUACCUACCCUUGACAUGGAUGGAAUCUCCGAGAGAUUGGAGAGUGCCCGAAAGGGAACCAUUACACAGGUGCUGCACGGCCGUCGUCAACU